CGGAGGGUGCAAGCGUUAUCCGGAUUCACUGGGUUUAAAGGGAGCGCAGGCGGAUUUGUAAGUCAGUGGUGAAAGGCUUAAGCUUAACUUGGGAACUGCCAUUGAUACUAUAAGUCUUGAAUGUUGUUGAGGUUUGCGGAAUGGGUCAUGUAGCGGUGAAAUGCAUAGAUAUGACCCGGAACACCUAUUGCGAAGGCAGCAGGCUAAACAAAUAUUGACGCUGAGGCUCGAAAGCGUGGGGAUCAAACAGGAUUAGAUACCCUGGUAGUCCACGCCCUAAACUAUGAUUACUCGACAUACGCGAUACACUGUGUGUGUCUGAGCGAAAGCAUUAAGUAAUCCACCUGGGAAGUACGGUCGCAAGAUUA
rnacentral:rRNA from 1 species